rnacentral:rRNA from 1 species
UAACGUCCCAGUUCGGAUUGUAGUCUGCAACCCGGCUACAUGAAGCUGGAAUCGCUAGUAAUCGCGGAUCAGAAUGCCGCGGUGAAUACGUUCCCGGGUCUUGUACACACCGCCCGUCACACCAUGGGAGCCGGAAAUGCCCGAAGUCAGUGACCCAACCGCAAGGAGGGAGCUGCCGAAGGUGGAGCUGGUAACUGGGGUGAAGUCGUAACAAGGUAUC